CUUGGGGUCCAAAUAGAGGAAAUCAUAUCCACCACAGAGACACGCACAGCAGAAACCCCAAAUAUGACCAUUAUGUUCAACUCAGCAGCCUUUUUUCCUAUUGGCUUAUCACCAUUACCAGUCUAGCUUCUGAUCUCUGAACCGCAGUCAGGACUCAAUUCAGUCUCUCUACGUGGGGAGAAAAGUUGGAAUAUCUCCCCUCCAGAAGUGAUAAGAAAUCCAAAGAGAAGAGGUGAAAAGCUCAUCUUCAGCAUGACAUUCCUCAGUGACCAGAAUUUUGAGCUGACAAGGACAGAAACUCUUGUGAGUGAAGUGUGUUAUUGAUUUGUGCGCAGCUGUAGUGCAGAGAUCAAGCAAAGUUCAAGGCAAUACACUGUUAAAUUCCUCUCGGAUUAAAAGGAAAAAUCUAAUUCCUUCCACUAAGGUACACAAAAUGAAAACUCUUAAUAUUUUGAAUUUAAAAUUGAUCACUU
rnacentral:lncRNA from 1 species